UGGGGAAUAUUGCACAAUGGGCGCAAGCCUGAUGCAGCCAUGCCGCGUGUGUGAAGAAGGCCUUCGGGUUGUAAAGCACUUUCAGCGAGGAGGAAGGUGGUGAACUUAAUACGUUCAUCAAUUGACGUUACUCGCAGAAGAAGCACCGGCUAACUCCGUGCCAGCAGCCGCGGUAAUACGGAGGGUGCAAGCGUUAAUCGGAAUUACUGGGCGUAAAGCGCACGCAGGCGGUUUGUUAAGUCAGAUGUGAAAUCCCCGGGCUCAACCUGGGAACUGCAUUUGAAACUGGCAAGCUAGAGUCUCGUAGAGGGGGGUAGAAUUCCAGGUGUAGCGGUGAAAUGCGUAGAGAUCUGGAGGAAUACCGGUGGCGAAGGCGGCCCCCCUGGACGAAGACUGACGCUCAGGUGCGAAAGCGUGGGGCAGCAAACAGGAUUAGAUACCCUGGUAGUCCAGCGCUGUAAAACGAUGUCGAUUUGGAGGUUGUGCCCUUGAGGCGUGGCUUCCGGAGCUAACGCGUUAAAGUCGACCG
rnacentral:rRNA from 1 species